GUGGCCAUAGAUAUACCCUGGGCUACCCUCACAGUGAACCUGCCCAUCACAAACAAGGGCUGCAGCAUGAAGAGGGCCAACCUCUGCCUUCCAGGUACCUGCACUACCUAUCAGAUGACAGCCUGGCUGCCAGUUAGCAUCCCUGCUGACCCCUGUGGCCUGCCCUUUCCAGAGACUAUGCUCCAGCAGCCUUUCGAAGAUGCCACCUUGGAGGACAACAUCUUCUUCCCAGAGGGACUUGAGCAGCCCAGUGGCCUCCACCAGGUGAAAGGGAAAUGAUGAAGAUGAGUUAUCCUGAAGGCCCCAACCUUCAUUGUGGUAGCUGGGCAUAAUCUGGGAAGGCUUCCUGCAAGUGUCCCUGGCAACUACCAUUCUACUUUCUGUUCUGUGAAUUUGACUGCUUUAGAUACCUCAGAGGGAGUGCAUGAGCAGGAGAGAGAGAACCUUAAGCAAGCUCCACACUCAGCAUGGAGCCUGGUGCCGGACUCAAUCUCACAACCCUGGGAUCAUGACCUGAUUGGAAAUCAAGAGUGGGAUGCUCAACCUCCUGAGCCACACAGGACAGUUGAUCAACAGCAUCUUUCACACCAUUUCCAGCCAGUGUCAGCCCUAAAAAGUGAUCCCUCAACACCACAGAAUUUGGGAGCAAGCUACAAGCCACUUCUCUACUCUCUAGGACAGUCAUCUGAGGUUCUCACCACACCCCAUGCUGCCCCUGAGCUUUGGCCCUUCUGCCUAGAAUUCUCCUUUCCUGAGCCUUUAUAUGCUUCUCUGUAGCAUUCUUGGAGUGCUUACCUCAUCAGGGUCUUAUUAAAUGCCUC